rnacentral:pre_miRNA from 1 species
ACAACAACAUUCGGACCGUCGGUCUACCGAGCAAUAUCACCCGCUCGGUGGAAGAUCUUCCCUUCUUCGUUUAAG